GGAGUUCGAUUAAGCCAUGCAAGUCAGAGCAGCUAGUCUGCUCGGCGUACGGCUCAGUAACACCAGGGUAACCUACCCUAUGAUACGGGAUAACCUUUGGAAAGCUGAGGAUAAUACCGUAUAGGAAAUUGAUUCUGGAAUGAACUUUUUCUUAAAGUCUUAGGACGUCAUAGGAUGGGCCUGCGGUGGAUUAGGCUGUUGGUGAGGUAAUGGCUCACCAAACCUGUGAUCCAUACGGGCUGUGUGAGCAGUAGCCCGGAGAAGGGAACUGAGACAAGGUCCCUAGCCCUACGGGGUGCAGCAGGCGCGGAACCUCUACAAUGCGCGAAAGCGUGAUAGGGGGACUCCAAGUGAAUGCUUUUUGUAUUCUUUUCUUAAGCGUAAAUUACUUGAGGAAUAAGGGCUGGGCAAGACUCGUGCCAGCCGCCGCGGUAAUACGGGCAGCUCAAGUGGUGUUCGAUAUUAUUGGGCCUAAAGCGUGCGUAGCCGGUUUUGUAAGUUCCUGGUGAAAUCUCGCGACUUAAUUGUGAAAUUGCUGGGAAUACUGCAAGACUUGGAGCCGGGAAGGGUAGGAGGAAUUCUGUGGGUAGGAGUAAAAUCCUGUGAUCCUCAGAGGACCAUCGGUGGCGAAGGCGUCCUACUGGAACGGGCUCGACGGUGAGGUACGAAAGCUAGGGGAGCAACCCGGAUUAGAUACCCGGUUAGUCCUAGCCGUAAAUGAUGCCGGCUUGGUGUCGCGUAACUUACGAGGUUACGCGGUGCCGAAGGGAAGCCGUUAAGCCGGCCGCCUGGGAAGUACGAUCGCAAGAUUGAAACUUAAAGGAAUUGGCGGGGGAGUACUACAAGGGGUGGAUGCUGCGGUUUAAUUGGAUACAACGCCAGACAACUCACCAAGGAAGACAGCAGGAUGAUUGUCAGCUCAAAGAGCUUACAUGACAAGCUGAGAGGUGGUGCAUGGCCACCGCCAGCUCGUGCCGUGAGGUGUUCUGUUAAGUCAGGCAACGAGCAAGACCCGCGCUUCUAGUUGCAACCUUUCAGGUUUCUGGGAGGGCACUCUAGAAGGACUGCCGAUGAUAAAUCGGAGGAAGGAGCGGGCGACGGUAGGUCAGUAUGCCCCGAAUUUCUUGGGCUACACGUGGCAUACAUUGCUAUAGACAAUAGGACGCGACUCCGAGAGGAGAAGCCAAUCCCUGAAACUAUAGCCAAGUUCGGAUCGAGGGCUGGGACUCGCUCUCGUGAAGCUGGAAUCCCUAGUAAUCGCGUGUCAUUAUCGCGCGGUGAAUACGUCCCUUCUCCUUGCACACACCGCCCGUCAAACCACCCGAGUAAGGCUUAGACGAGGCCAAAUCCAGAAUAUGGGUUCGGUCGAAUCUGGGCUUUGUGAGGGGGGUUAAGUCGUAACAAGGUA
rnacentral:rRNA from 1 species